AGGUGCGAUCAUACCAGCACUAAUACACCGGAUCCCAUCAGAACUCCGCAGUUAAGAGUGCUUGUUAUGUUUUUCUUCCUGGCCUAGACAAUCAAACCAUGAGUUCAGUCAGUUAUCGCGUUCGUUGCCCUUC
rnacentral:rRNA from 1 species